GGGUACCUGCGGAGGGAUCAUUACACAAAUAUGAAGGCGGGCUGGAACCUCUCGGGGUUACAGCCUUGCUGAAUUAUUCACCCUUGUCUUUUGCGUACUUCUUGUUUCCUUGGUGGGUUCGCCCACCACUAGGACAAACAUAAACCUUUUGUAAUUGCAAUCAGCGUCAGUAACAAAUUAAUAAUUACAACUUUCAACAACGGAUCUCUUGGUUCUGGCAUCGAUGAAGAACGCAGCGAAAUGCGAUAAGUAGUGUGAAUUGCAGAAUUCAGUGAAUCAUCGAAUCUUUGAACGCACAUUGCGCCCUUUGGUAUUCCAAAGGGCAUGCCUGUUCGAGCGUCAUUUGUACCCUCAAGCUUUGCUUGGUGUUGGGCGUCUUGUCUCUAGCUUUGCUGGAGACUCGCCUUAAAGUAAUUGGCAGCCGGCCUACUGGUUUCGGAGCGCAGCACAAGUCGCACUCUCUAUCAGCAAAGGUCUAGCAUCCAUUAAGCCUUUUUUUCAACUUUUGACCUCGGAUCAGGUAGGACCCCCGUUCCC
rnacentral:rRNA from 1 species